rnacentral:rRNA from 1 species
UACGAAGGGUGCAAGCGCUACUCGGAAUUACUGGGCGUAAAGCGUGCGUAGGUGGUUGUUUAAGUCUGUUGUGAAAGCCCUGGGCUCAACCUGGGAAUUGCAGUGGAUACUGGGCGACUAGAGUGUGGUAGAGGGUAGUGGAAUUCCCGGUGUAGCAGUGAAAUGCGUAGAGAUCGGGAGGAACAUCCAUGGCGAAGGCAGCUACCUGGACCAACACUGACACUGAGGCACGAAAGCGUGGGGAGCAAACAGG